AGGGAGUUUAGGGUUAGAAAUACAUCAAGAGUUAGGAGCUAGGGUUAGGAGCUAGGGUUAGGAGCUAGGGUUAGGGGCUAGGGUUAGGAGCUAGGUUUAGGGUUAGAAAUGCAUUAAGGGUUAGGAGCUAGGGUUAGGAGCUAGGUUUAGGGUUAGGAGCUAGGGUUAGAUUUAGGUUUAAGAGCUAGGGUUAGUUUUAGGGUUAGGAGCUAGGGUUAGGUUUAGGGUUAGCAGCUAGGGUUAGCUUUAGGUUUAAGAGCUAGGGUUAGUUUUAGGGUUAGGAGCCAGGGUUAGGUGCUAGGGUUAAGAACUAGGUUUAGGGUUAAGAGCUAGGGUUAGUUUUAAGGUUAGAAGCCAGGGUUAGGUGGUAGGGUUAAGAGCUAGGCUUAGGUUUAUGGUUAAGAGCUAGGGUUAGGUUUAGGGUUAAGAGCUAGGUUAGGUUUAGGGUUAGGUGCUAGGGUUAGGUUUAGGGUUAGGAGCUAGGGUUAGGUUUAGGGUUAGGUGCUAGGGUUAAGAGCUAGGGUUCGUUUUAGGGUUAGGAGCUAGGGUUCGGUUUAGGGUUAGGAGCUCGGAUUAGUUUUAGGGUUAGGUGCUAGGGUCAGAUUUAGGGUUAGGAGCUAGGGUUAGGUUUAGGUGCUAGGGUUAGGUUUAGGGUUAAGAGCUAGAGUUAGGUUUAGGGUUAGGAGCUAGGGUUAAGUUUAGUGUUAAGAGCUAGGGUUAGGAUUAGGGUUAAGAGCUAUGUAUAGGUUUAGGGUUAGGAGCUAGGGUUCGGUUUAGGGUUAGGAGCUAGGAUUCGUUUUAGGGUUAGG
ensembl:lncRNA